rnacentral:lncRNA from 1 species
ACCGAACCCGAAACCUCAUGGUUCCUAGUCGGAUUCGUUAACCACUGCGCCACGACGGGAACUCCCACAAGGGAUUUUUAUUACCUCAAAUCUGCAUAGACCCAUCAGUCUUCUCCCCGCCCUGCAGCCAUCAGUCCUUCAUCUCUGUUCCUUCGGGCCAUCUCCUGGGGGUCCCGCAGUGAUCCAGAGCAGAACAUGGCCAGAGCUUAGCAAAUUCCUCUCUGAACCAAGGACCCCUUCCCACUCAUCUCUCCUUACAUCCUUCUAAUCCUCUUGGGCUUUGCUGAUCGUUACGGGAGCCACUGGCCACGUGUGGCUGUGGCGCGCUUGGGAUGUGGGUCACUGGUGAUGUGGUGUGCUCUAAGUGGAGAACACAUACUGGAUUUGGAAGACUUAGUAUGAAAAAAAAAAAAGCAAGAGGUAAAAUAUUAACUUUAAGUGGUGGUAUUUAGGACUUACUGGGUUAAAUUAAAAAAUAAUCAAAAUAGUAAUAUUAUUUAUUGAUUUCUUUUGGCUUUUUAAUAUGGCUACUAGAACAUUUUUAAUUAUAUAAUGUGGCUUACAUUAUAAUUCAGUUAUAUGAAGCUAACUCUAGACUUUGCAGGCCUGGAAUUACUCUUUAUUUUCUUGCUCUGAGGUUCCAUACUGAAUCUGUCAACAAGCCUUGGUACCCAGUCUCUUGGCCUUGCAUCCUUCCCCUUCCUUUCCUGAAUCCCUCGUCCAGACAAGCCCUCUCCCUGUUACAGCAUCCCCAGCACCCGCCUGCUUCCAGCGACUCCAGCCCAAUUCAGCUGCUGGCAAACAAACUCGAUAACCUCAAUAACUGGGAGUUAACCUUGUUAAAAUCCCCCCGAGAUGAAAAAGAAAAGAAAAAAAAAAAAAAAAAAAGGCCAGCUGAAUGCUCUCCUUCUCCCUGGGUAAUUUUUGACCCCACACCAACAAAACUGCUUAUUGAGAAAUGAUUUAUUUUUAAUGUAACUUUCCCACAAACAGCGUAACAGGAGUUAGUUUAGGAAUGACACACCACAUUCGAUCAGACGUCCAGCAUGAACAGAUCAUGAUGCUGCCAGCUUUUAGUAUCCCUGGUCUCUUCGGACAAGAGAGAAGAAAGAGAAAGAAGGAAAGGAGGAGAGAAAGAGACAAACAAUAAAAACAGAAAAAAGGAAAAAAAAUAGUAGUUA